GCUGGUAGCACAGUGGUUAGUGCUACUGCCUUUGGACCUGAAGGUUGUGGGUUUGAUCCCCACCUCUGGCU
rnacentral:tRNA from 1 species